AUAAUAUAAUUGAUUCUUUAUUAUUUUUCUUAUUUUUUUUAUAUUUAUGGGCCUUUGAAGUGACAACAGAGAAAACAGUGGAU
rnacentral:ribozyme from 13 species